CCGCUCUUCCAGCUAAACUCCACCCCACUCCCAUUAGCAGCCUCUGGAAAGCAAAGGGAGUUCCUGUCUUGGUGCCCCAAACCUCUUAGCUGGGGUGAGUUUUGCCUCUCCCACUCCUCACAGCAAUCGGGAUCCAGCCAUACAUCUCCCCAGAAACACCAGAGACAAAGAGGAAGAAAAAGAGAGAGAAGAGUGAGACAGAGAAAGAGAUCCGGUUUGUCCGGACCCUUAAUCGACUAGAAGUGGCCGUCAUCUUGGAUACACACGAGGGAAGCUCCAGCUAGCCUGGACUGGAAACAGCAUUUCAUUCACUCCAGCUGGCAGUGCCUGGCAGACUGGCUAACUGGCUCUUAUGUAUGGGCUGAAACGUGCUGCGGCUUGUCCCUGCUCCAUCUCUCCUCCUCCUCAGCUUUUCUACAAGCCACAUGCAAAAAUCUGCCCCAUUACUCGAUUAUCGCAUUUCAUAUGAAAUUAGGUAUUGCAGGUCUCAUGUUAUUCACUUAGCUUGGCGCAGACCGAGGGCAUGACUCAGAGGCACUCCCAGUUUCACCUCCUUCCAGCCAUGGCUCCUCCUUUAUCCUGACCCCUGGGACACCCUGUCCUGCCAGGACACCCGUCUUCCUCCUGAGGCUUCUGUUAAACCACACUCUCAGGCCCCUUAGCAGGACAGAGCAUUUCCGACCAGCUUCAAUUCCACCCUUUUGAACCCUGACCCGCCAGUGUCUCCUGGAAGUACCCAGAUGAAUGAUCUCCAUUUGCCUCCCUCAUGGUGUGGCCCGCAGCGUUGUGGACCAGCCCUGUGCUUACCUCGGCCCUGGCGGCUUUUUCAUUCUUCUCCCUGUCACUAGACUAAUGGUUUCUCUAAAAAGCUCCAACCCUCCAGGCUGCAGUGUCAGCAGCUCUGGGUGGCCCAGCACACACUUCCUCCAGGUACACGUGAGCGUGCUAAAAAUCCUGGUCCCACCCACACAUCCUGGUCUGGUAGCUUCCCCCGUCCCACUUUGCAGCCUUCACAUUCUCAACUCCCACGUUUACAUUUCAUCAGAGUCAACCUCAGGCUUUCUGUGAUCCCCUCAUCAAUCCGCAGUGAUGUUUUUGGCUAUACCCCCUGCCCCUGGAAAUGAUUUCCCACCGUUCCAGGGGCAGACACACGUGGACCUCCUUUUCUUCCUGGCACACUUUCCCUUCUGUGCCCAACUGUCUCCAGAGCUGUCAGGAAAUGCAUUUGGGUUUUAUCUGCUUAUUUAGCAAGGUUGUCUGAGUACCUACUAUGCAUAAGAC
ensembl:lncRNA